AUUUCAGCCUUGUGCCUCUUUCAGUUGCUGGAUGUCUGCUGGCUGGAGAUCACCCGUUUCCCUGUCAAGGGGGCCUCUCUGCCACAAUAAGUUGCUUCAUCACCCUUCGACAAGAGAGAAAGGCUACUAGCAAGACAGAUGUUACAAUUACAGAAACGAAGUUUUGCCACAUUGGCCAGGCUGGUCUCAAACUCCUGGCCUCAAGCAAUCCACCCACCUCAGCCUCCCAAA
rnacentral:lncRNA from 10 species